GUUACUUGUAUUCAUAAAUCUAUAAAAAUUUUAUUUUCUCUCUUCUUUUUGUUUUUUUGGUAUGAUGUCUGGGACAACAGGAGUAGGUGCGUGUCAUCUCCUGGUAGAAUAGAAAAGAUAACAUAGCCACCUCGAAGCGAUGCAUACUACUAUUAUAGUAGUAUAUC
rnacentral:ribozyme from 16 species